GAUUUUACAGGAUCAUAGAUUGAAUGGAGUUGCCUUGUCUCAGAUGAGAGUUUGAGCUGUCUUUUGAGGUUUUCCCUUCACUCUUUCCUUGACUUCCACCAUGAUUGUGAGGCCUCCCAGCCAUAUGGAACUGUAAGUUUGUUUUUCUUCCCAAUCUCAGGUAUGUCUUUAUCAGCAAAAGCUUUUAGCUUGAUAAAAUCUCUUUUGUCUAUUUUUGCUUUUGUUG
rnacentral:lncRNA from 1 species